AACGGUCCUAAGGUAGCGAAAUUCCUUGUCGGGUAAGUUCCGACCCGCACGAAAGGCGUAACGAUUUGGGCACUGUCUCAACGAGAGACUCGGUGAAAUCAUAGUACCUGUGAAGAUGCAGGUUACCCGCGACAGGACGGAAAGACCCCGUGGAGCUUUACUGUAGCCUGAUAUUGAAAUUCGGCACAGCUUGUACAGGAUAGGUAGGAGCCUUUGAAACGUGAGCGCUAGCUUACGUGGAGGCGCUGGUGGGAUACUACCCUAGCUGUGUUGGCUUUCUAACCCGCACCACUUAUCGUGGUGGGAGACAGUGUCAGGCGGGCAGUUUGACUGGGGCGGUCGCCUCCUAAAAGGUAACGGAGGCGCUCAAAGGUUCCCUCAGAAUGGUUGGAAAUCAUUCAUAGAGUGUAAAGGCAUAAGGGAGCUUGACUGCGAGACCUACAAGUCGAGCAGGGUCGAAAGACGGACUUAGUGAUCCGGUGGUUCCGCAUGGAAGGGCCAUCGCUCAACGGAUAAAAGCUACCCCGGGGAUAACAGGCUUAUCUCCCCCAAGAGUUCACAUCGACGGGGAGGUUUGGCACCUCGAUGUCGGCUCAUCGCAUCCUGGGGCUGUAGUCGGUCCCAAGGGUUGGGCUGUUCGCCCAUUAAAGCGGUACGCGAGCUGGGUUCAGAACGUCGUGAGACAGUUCGGUCCCUAUCCGUCGUGGGCGUAGGAAAUUUGAGAGGAGCUGUCCUUAGUACGAGAGGACCGGGAUGGACAUACCUCUGGUGUACCAGUUGUCGUGCCAACGGCAUAGCUGGGUAGCUAUGUAUGGACGGGAUAAGUGCUGAAAGCAUCUAAGCAUGAAGCCCCCCUCAAGAUGAGAUUUCCCAACUUCGGUUAUAAGAUCCCUCGAAGAUGACGAGGUUAAUAGGUUCGAGGUGGAAGCGUGGUGACACGUGGAGCUGACGAAUACUAAUCGAUCGAAGACUUAAUCAA
rnacentral:rRNA from 1 species